rnacentral:rRNA from 1 species
UGGCGGCAGGCUUAACACAUGCAAGUCGAGCGGUAGCAGAUCUAGCUUGCUAGAUGCUGACGAGCGGCGGACGGGUGAGUAACGCGUAGGAACCUGCCCAGUAGUGGGGGAUAGCCCGGGGGAAACUCGGAUUAAUACCGCAUACGCUCUACGGAGGAAAGAGGGGGCUUCGGCUCUCGCUAUUGGAUGGGCCUGCGUGAGAUUAGCUAGUUGGUGAGGUAAUGGCUCGCCAAGGCGACGAUCUCUAGCUGGUCUGAGAGGAUGAUCAGCCACACUGGGACUGAGACACGGCCCAGACUCCUACGGGAGGCAGCAGUGGGGAAUAUUGCACAAUGGGCGCAAGCCUGAUGCAGCCAUGCCGCGUGUGUGAAGAAGGCUUUCGGGUUGUAAAGCACUUUCAGUGGGGAGGAAGGCCUCGUAGUUAAUAGCUGCGAGGAUUGACGUUACCCACAGAAGAAGCACCGGCUAACUCCGUG